rnacentral:rRNA from 1 species
UACGAAGGUCCCAAGCGUUAUCCGGAUUUAUUGGGUUUAAAGGGUGCGUAGGCGGGCUAUUAAGUCAGUGGUGAAAGCUCUCAGCCUAACUGAGAAAUUGCCAUUGAUACUGAUGGUCUUGAGUACAUUUGAAGUGGGCGGAAUGUGUCAUGUAGCGGUGAAAUGCUUAGAUAUGACACAGAACACCGAUUGCGUAGGCAGCUCACUAAACUGUAACUGACGCUGAGGCACGAAAGCGUGGGGAGCAAACAGGAUUAGACACCCUGGUAGUCCACGCCGUAAACGAUGAUCACUCGAUGUGUGCGAUACACUGUACGCGUCUGAGCGAAAGCAUUAAGUGAUCCACCUGGGGAGUACGGUCGCAAGACUGAA